UGUCGAUAACCAUACGCAUGU
rnacentral:piRNA from 1 species